GCCAGCCAUUUUGGAAUGGUUCAAAACUGGGCACUCGGACUCGGUGUGAUGCCGCGCCUGAUUACGGCGGAAGGUUUGAAAAUGUGUCGUCAUUUUCCAUCGCCUUUCCUGCUUGCCAGGCACGACACGCGCCGCGCAGAAUGACCGAGGUCUGGGGCCGAGAGGCCUUUUGCCGCAGCCCGCGCGUCGGAGCCUGUCCGGGGUUGACCACUGAUCGCUUUGAAGGAAGAAAGGCG
rnacentral:sRNA from 1 species